AAAAACUUAGGUUAAUUAAACCAAGGACCUUCAAAGCCCUAAAUAAGGACAUAUGCCCUUAGUUUUUGA
rnacentral:tRNA from 1 species